AGAAGUGGGGGGGUGCUAAUACAUGCAAGUCGAGCGGACAGAUGGGAGCUUGCUCCCUGAUGUUAGCGGCGGACGGGUGAGUAACACGUGGGUAACCUGCCUGUAAGACUGGGAUAACUCCGGGAAACCGGGGCUAAUACCGGAUGGUUGUUUGAACCGCAUGGUUCAAACAUAAAAGGUGGCUUCGGCUACCACUUACAGAUGGACCCGCGGCGCAUUAGCUAGUUGGUGAGGUAACGGCUCACCAAGGCAACGAUGCGUAGCCGACCUGAGAGGGUGAUCGGCCACACUGGGACUGAGACACGGCCCAGACUCCUACGGGAGGCAGCAGUAGGGAAUCUUCCGCAAUGGACGAAAGUCUGACGGAGCAACGCCGCGUGAGUGAUGAAGGUUUUCGGAUCGUAAAGCUCUGUUGUUAGGGAAGAACAAGUACCGUUCGAAUAGGGCGGUACCUUGACGGUACCUAACCAGAAAGCCACGGCUAACUACGUGCCAGCAGCCGCGGUAAUACGUAGGUGGCAAGCGUUGUCCGGAAUUAUUGGGCGUAAAGGGCUCGCAGGCGGUUUCUUAAGUCUGAUGUGAAAGCCCCCGGCUCAACCGGGGAGGGUCAUUGGAAACUGGGGAACUUGAGUGCAGAAGAGGAGAGUGGAAUUCCACGUGUAGCGGUGAAAUGCGUAGAGAUGUGGAGGAACACCAGUGGCGAAGGCGACUCUCUGGUCUGUAACUGACGCUGAGGAGCGAAAGCGUGGGGAGCGAACAGGAUUAGAUACCCUGGUAGUCCACGCCGUAAACGAUGAGUGCUAAGUGUUAGGGGGUUUCCGCCCCUUAGUGCUGCAGCUAACGCAUUAAGCACUCCGCCUGGGGAGUACGGUCGCAAGACUGAAACUCAAAGGAAUUUGACGGGGCCCGCACAAGCCGGUGGAGCAUGUGGUUUAAUUCGAAGCAACGCGAAGAACCUUACCAGGUCUUGACAUCCUCUGACAAUCCUAGAGAUAGGACGUCCCCUUCGGGGGCAGAGUGACAGGUGGUGCAUGGUUGUCGUCAGCUCGUGUCGUGAGAUGUUGGGUUAAGUCCCGCAACGAGCGCAACCCUUGAUCUUAGUUGCCAGCAUUCAGUUGGGCACUCUAAGGUGACUGCCGGUGACAAACCGGAGGAAGGUGGGGAUGACGUCAAAUCAUCAUGCCCCUUAUGACCUGGGCUACACACGUGCUACAAUGGACAGAACAAAGGGCAGCGAAACCGCGAGGUUAAGCCAAUCCCACAAAUCUGUUCUCAGUUCGGAUCGCAGUCUGCAACUCGACUGCGUGAAGCUGGAAUCGCUAGUAAUCGCGGAUCAGCAUGCCGCGGUGAAUACGUUCCCGGGCCUUGUACACACCGCCCGUCACACCACGAGAGUUUGUAACACCCGAAGUCGGUGAGGUAACCUUUAGGAGCCAGCCGCCGAAGGGGAAGCUU
rnacentral:rRNA from 1 species